CACAGGCAGAGGAAGAAGCAGGCUCCCUGAGGGGAGCCCAAUGUGGGACUUGAUCCCAGGACCCCCGACCACACCCUGAGCCCAAGGCAGAUGCUCAACCACUGAGCCACCCAGGCGUCCCAGCAGGUGAAUUUUGUAUGAGGGAAACAAGGUUGGAGACACAGACUGGAUCCAGAUUCUGGAUGCCCUAACUGCCAACCUAUGGGAAGGGGAGCUCUCAGAGGUUGAACCAUGCCUCCCCUCUCUGGGCCUAACACCUGUGUACAGUAAUGCUUGUAAUUCUCACAGCAUGGAUGCUCAUUUUACAGCAGGGGAAACUGAGUCUCGAGAAAUUGCUUGACCUAGUUGCCCAGCAUCACAACUGUUAGAGUGGUAGAGUGGUAGAGUGUGGCUUGAGCGUGGAUCUGACCCCUGCAAAUCCCAUGGUCCUUCCUCUAAACAUCACACAGCUUCUGGGAAGGUUUUACCAGCCACUAGAGACAAAUGUAAGUUUUUAACCCUCUCUUGCCAUUUGCCUUGUGAGCAAUGGGUCUGAGUUGGGGGAGCUUUUGGGGGACAGGCAGUCUGUUUCGGGCAGACCACUGCAACCAUCUAGGCAGGAAGUGUGUUAGCCAGGGUUUCUGAUACCAUCUUGACUAGUAAUGCUAAAGCAACCAUUUUCAUUUCACUCCAGACCUUGAAAAGAACACAUCUAAAGUUUUAAAUAUGAUGUCUGCUGAAGGUUUUAUUAAGUUUAAAAAAAAACUUCCCUUCCUCAUUUUCAUGCCAUUUUCAUCACAAGCUUUAUCAAGAAUUUCCUGCAUCUUUUGAGAAGGUCACGUGAUUUUUCUUCUCUAGUCCAUUCAGGUGGUUGGAUGUUUGGAGAUGGAGAAGUAUAGACUAUGCAAAUACUUAUCUGAGGUAAAGCAAAGCGUCCUUGAUGAAGUCCUUGUCCCUGGCAAGGAGAAUAAUAAAAUGGAUGGAAUAACUUGGAUCAGAGCAUAAGAGGCUUCUUCCUGGGGAACCUGUAUGGCUCAGUGGUUGAGCAUCUGCCUUCAGCUCAGGUCGUGACCCUGGAGUCCUGGGAUCGAGUCCCACAUCAAGCUCCCCACAGGGAGCCUGCUUCUCCCUCUGCCAGUCUCUGCCACUCUCUGUGUAUCUCUCAUGAAUAAUUUUUUUUUAAAAAAGAAGCUUAUUCCUACUCAUGUAGGUCUCUCCUAGGUGACAAGGUCACUGGUGAAUCUCCCAUAGUUGGACCAAGAGCAUCGGCCAGCUUCCUGACCCAGGGAGAGGGCCACACUCCUAGAACACCAAGGUCAGAAGGAAAAAGAAAAAGGAAAAGGAAAAAGUAGCCACUGCUGAGCAGAGCUGUUAGUUUGGACCAGUGGGAAUUCUGUUCUCAGAAACACAAGCAUUGGGAAAUUGGGCAUCAGAACACAGCAGGGAGUCAUUUACUAUUUCAAGGAGAAGCCAUGGAGAAGGCUGAGGUUUGGGGCCAGGUUCCAAGAUCAGAGUUGCCCCAUGACUAGCCAGUAAGAGGCAGAAGCCUCUUCCUUUUGCUGCAAGAUGCCCUUGAAACAGCCUCUGUUGGAGCCUGUCAUCCUCAGGCUCUGCAAACUGGCAAAAUAGGGUAACAGAACCUUUCCUGGGUUCAAUGAGAUGGCUGCCUUGCACAAUUCUGUUAGUGAAAACCCACCUGGGCCAUGUUUAGACACCCGACCUGGCAAGGAACAUAACGAAGGCCCAAACUCCAAGAUAGCAAACAAAUUAAAAUGCACUGCUGUCAACACUAAACACAAUUUGGAGGGGGGAAAGUGAGAGGAUUUUUAUAAUCUCACUUUUGAAAUUGUCAAUGAGUAUAACUCAUUUAGUUUGCAAUUUGCUUUGAUUUUUUUCCCAAAAAUCUGUUCAUAAUUGGAAAUUCUUGAGAAGUGAGAAAAUCAGAUCCACAGAUUACUUUCAAAUGUGUGAAAUGCUAAAGUUGAAAAACUCAUAAAGUUGGAAUAUUACGUUUGUAUGCUUUUAAUUAAACAUUUAUCCUUUA